ACGCUACCUGCUCCCAAACACGGACCUAAUCUCCAAAUACGAGUCAUUCAGCAUUCGAAUGGCCCUUUGCCGAAUCCAGGAUGUUCGAUGGUGCCCCGCACCGGAUUGCGGGUCAGUUUUGAUAUGCAAUCGCGCUCCACUGAACACAUUUUUUUGCAGAUUUGCCGUAAUCGUGCCCAAUGGUCAAAAGUGUCCGCGUAUCAAGUGCCAGCGGCCGGGCUGUGGCCGGGAAUUUUGCUUCAAGUGCCGAAAAGUGUGGCAUGAGGGAACCAGGACGUGCUCCAAGACUUUUGAACAGUUGAAGAAGAUUACGGAGAAUGG
rnacentral:sRNA from 1 species